rnacentral:sRNA from 1 species
GCUCCGCCGGUCGCCUUCUGCAGGUGGGCGUCGCCGCCGUCUAACUCGCAACCGGGUCGGGGGCUCCCGGAAGUGCUCUUGCGGAUUACUGCCUGGCACAGCUGUCAUUCUUCUCUACAGAAGAGCUUCUCCUCAUCAACUGGGGAUGAUUACAGUUCUUCCUAAAAAAGGAUGGCUGCUCUUUUUCUAAAGAGGUUAACACUACAAACUGUAAAGUCUGAAAAUAGUUGCAUUAGAUGUUUUGGUAAACACAUCGUGCAAAAGACAGCACCAACACAGUUGUCCCCUAUUGCUUCUGCCCCAAGACUCUCCUUCCUAAUUCAUGCAAAAGCCUUUAGUAACGCUGAAGACACCCAGAAUGAAGGAAAAAAGAAAAAAAAGAAUAAAACAGCUUUUAGUAACAUUGGAAGAAAAAUUAGUCAGCGAAUUAUUCACUUAUUUGAUGAGAAGGGCAAUGAUUUGGGAAACAUGCAUCGAGCAAAUGUGAUUAGACUUAUGGAUGAGCGACACCUGCGACUGGUUGAAAGGAACACCAGCACAGAACCUGCAGAGUACCAGCUCAUGACAGGACUGCAGAUCUUCCAGGAGCAGCAGAGGCUGAGGGAGAUGGAGAAGGCGAGCCCCAAAACUGGACCAACCGUAAGAAAGGAACUGAUUUUGUCUUCAAAUAUUGGACAACAUGAUUUGGACACAAAGACUAAACAGAUUCAGCAGUGGAUUAAGAAAAAACACCUAGUCCAGAUUACUAUAAAGAAAGGAA